UUUUGUAUUUUUAGUAGACACAGGUUUCACUAUGUCAGCCAGGCUGGUCUGGAACUCCUGACCUCAGGUGAUCCACCCACCUUGGCCUCCCAAAGUGCUGGGAUUACAGGCGUGAGCUAUCGCACUCGGCCCAACUUGUAGCAGUUUUAACUAUGCUUCCCUUUAGUUUCCUUAUCAAGAAAAUUUUUUUGCAUAGAACCAGUAGGUGAGAAUGACAAGAUAAUCUCUUAAUAUUAAUAGCUUCUUUUUGUUAGGGUUAUUAAGGAGGUUGAUUCUUGUUCCUACUCAGGUUGUUACCCUCCAGAAUAGCACUGGCUUCUCUAAAAGGUUAAAUGGCAUUUACGCUUUGAAAGUUUGGAUGAAUGAGAGUUUAAUUCCUUUAUUACACAAAUGGCUUCAAAGAGAAUUCUAAGCAAGCAUUUGCUUCCAGCCGUAGUCUUUUGUUAAGAAUAUUAGUGAUCUUUGCAUACUCAUAACGUGUAGUAGAUGCUCAAAUAUUUGUUAAGCAUAAAGGCUUCUUUUGAGAAAAAGGAUAGAAUUAGGUCAGCAGCACUGCAAAAUUUCCCUGGCUUUUUCUUUUUCUGCUUGGGAAAAUUUGAUAUUUACAGAUAGUAGGCUUCUUUUUCCUACCAUCUUUUUCAAAGAGGUCACGUUGACUCUGGCAACAUCUUGCAUAAAAUUCCUUUUCCCCUUUCUAGUGAAGUGGAAGAAUAAAAUGUAGCAGAACUGGUGUUUCUAUUGGAAAAAGUUUUCAAACCAUUGUACUUAAUGAUUAGUAAAAAUGUUUUAAUUAUAUUUUUAAGAUCUUACAUGAUAAAAAAUUGAUAUAAUUUUUUAUAUAUCAAAGCUCAGAAAAGGCUGGAGUAAUAAAAAAUUGAUAUAAUUUUUUAUUACUCCAGCCUUUUCUGAGCUUUGAUAUAUAUUUUUUUUUAAUUUGAGAAAAAUAAGCAGGUUAUUUCUUUGCAGGAUUAACGGUAUUGGCUGGUGGCAUUAGUGAUAACCAGCUUUUUUAUAUCGAGUACCUAUUUUAUAAUAGCUACGAAAAUACACUCUUUCUUCUACAAAAAGCAACUAAUGUCCAAAGUUCUGAAUUUUUUUUGAAGAGCUUCUGAGUUUUUCUGAAGAGCUGUGGUGUAACCCAUUCUGGUUACCUGUAUUUAUUAAUUGUUUAAUAAGCAAAGAGCUGGGACCAUGUUGCUUUUUACGAGAGUUAGUAGAGUAUUACCAUGGGAAGUGGUCACUGGCAUGUUCUUCACAUUGUGGACUUUUCAUUAUGUAAACGAACUUGGGGUUCUUCUCUUCCAUGUGUUAUUUUGAAACUGCAAUGUGAACUAAUGCAAUCUGCCAUUCCUGCCAGAUGCUUAGACAAAAGCUCUCUUGGUAGUUGGGGAGGGACUCAACACUGGUACCUCUUUAAACCUGAAAGAUGGCAGCCAAAAAUUGAGUAGUUUUUAACUUACACAUGAUGAAGUGAACACCAAGGAAAUAAAGUCGCGGAGGCCUAUUUCAAACUUAAAAGAAGUAUGUCGAGGUGAAUAAUAGAGCUCAAGAUUUUGAGUCAAACUAGUUUUACCAUUUAAUAGAUGCAUGGCCUGAGGAAAUCACUUAGUCCCUUUGAGAAAACUGAGCUCAAUUAAAUAGGAAUAAUACUCAUCCCACAGGGUUGUAGGGAGUGAGAGUCAGGUAAAGCACCUUGACUACCUUCUGUGUCCUGUUUAUCUCAGCUUUUCUGUUCUGUUUAAAAGUGUGAGCCUGCCUGUAAUAGCAGUGCAGGGGUCUCAUUAAAUCAUAGUCCAUGAAUGGGAUUUAGAAGAUUGGUUUCUUCCGACUGCCCCAGAACCCACAGGAGCAGGCAGCUGGGGGUGGGGAGUCAGCCCUGGAAUAGGGGCUGUGGCAGUUUGGGGGGACCCGGCUGUGUUGGCUGUGGGGGUGACGAGUGAGUCUCAGCCUGGGCGGAAAUGGAGCUCCAGGAAACUACUAAAGUUCCUGGGGAAGCAAAGUAGAAUUUCAUAAGAACAAAAUGGAUGGAGAGGAGAAAACCUAUCUGUGGUGGCUGUGAAGGCACUGAUGCCGUAUGUUAAAUUGAUAUCAUCUGAUGGCCAUGAAUUUAUUGUAAAAGGAGAAUAUGCAUUAACAUCAGGCAUGAUAAAAGCCAUGUUGAGUGGCCCAGGUCAGUUUGCUGAGAAUGAAACCAGAGGUCAGUUUCAGAGAGAUACCUUCACAUGUGCUAUCAAAAGUAUGCAUGUAUUUUAUGUACAAGGUUCACUACACUAACAGCUCCACCGAGAUUCCCGAAUUCCCAGUUGCACCUGAAAUUGGACUUGAACUGCUGAUGGCUGCAAACUUUUCCUAGAUUGUUACAUAAAAUAAAUUAUAAUAAACUGUUAAAGAAAAAAAAAGAUUAAGAAGCCUUUAAAAUUGUGUAUUUUUCUGGGCGGAAGGUCCAUGUCAACCAUCAGAUUUUCAAAAUUUUAUUUUAAAAUUUAAAAUCUGCUAUCUGCGAAGAAUGACUUUAUUGGAUGUCUAGGAGAGGAAGCAGUGUAAAAUUGUGUGUCUAAUAUAACAGUUGGCAACUGCAGUUGAGUAACCUUAAUAGUGAUUCUGUUAAUUUGAGUUCUAUUUUAUUGCCGCUCUACAUUUUUAUUUGCUCAGGGCAAUUUUAAGGUGUGGUUAUGGGGCAUUGAUUGUAUCUCCAGCCCACAGAACUGCUAUUAAAUAAGAAAGCAAGCAGCUUUUGGGUCUCUCUUAGUUUGAAUAUAUUAUUACAUGCCUUGGGCUUUAAAAACUGCUAUGUAGAUUAGUUUUUAAGAUGAAAAUCACUAGGCAGCUCAUUGGAAUAGGGCUUCUCCAAAGAAUUCUAUAGUGUUAUAUCUAUUGUUACUAUUUUAUUAAGAUAUACUGUAUAUUUAAAUCUCUUCGUGGUUUUGAUAUGUUUCAAAGUAUAAAGAAUUCAUGUUGUGGUCUCAGGAAGGAAAAAAUUGGACAGUGUCUUUGGUAAUAAAGUUCAGUAUUUUUUUUAAUGUGAAGUGCCACACCCAGUGACAUAUUUUGUACAAAUAUAAAAAGUCUGAGGUAUAUGAAGUGGAAAUCCUGAAAAUAAAGGCAGGGAAAUGGCCAGGUAGAGGCAUUUGCUGUUUGAUAGGAAGGGAAACUAGGUCUGCCUUUAUAAUACUGAAUUAAAUGUCAUUGGAUUAUUUGGAUUAAUUUCACAAAUCUUUGAUUCCAAAGUAAGUUAUUCUUGGCAUAUUUAUAUUGAAGUGUGUGUGUGAGAGAGAAUUUUUAAGCAAAAAUGAUGGCUGUCCUGAUAUAAAGUAAGUUUUAAAACUUAGCAUAUUGUUUAUUGAAAUUCUAAUCAUCCUCUUAGAAUUUUUUUUGGUAGAAUUCCUGGGUUCCCUAUUGUGAUUUCAUCCUAGUUUCCAUAGCUUUUGCUUUACUCUGACAGUUUUACAUUGAGAAUAAACACUACUCAAGGUUUUAGGGGACUUAGAACUGCUGUCAGUUCCAGUAUACUCAAAGCCAGAGUUCCUCUUCCUUUUGAAACUGACUGUCCUUUAUAACUAUCCAAUUUUAGCAUUUUUCUAGACUUAAUCACAUGACAUUUGUUCUGCUCAACUUUGACUUUAUUUUCAGAUUACAAGCUGUUGAUAUUUCCCAGAUCAUUGGUUCCCAGUCUUUUACAUUAAUGCUGAAUCGUAUAGUUCACAGGAUUACAGUCAGAAAAGUGCAUGUUGCCAAAUAAGAAAAUGAUACUAUAAGGAUAACUUGAUGUACUUUUAAUGGACAAAAGCUAAAUAAUAAACAUCUUUUUACUGCUGCUCGUGGUCAUUCACUUGGACUAUGUUGCAUAUAUUUCUUAUUCUAAUCUUUCUAAAACGCUGAUUUUAUUCCAUCUAUUUGCUUGAUCCUUGCCAAAAUUCCCUGCAAGAGGCUUUUAGCUUUAGUUUGGUCUUCUCACUGUCCUUGAUAAAUACUAUUGCUAAUUACCAUCUUUAUGGCCUGAGGGUUUCUGCUUCAUUUCUCUGAGUUAGAACCUAUUUUAAUCUUGAUUAUCUGUCUUCCAACAUCAGAGGAUUGGCUCUAUUCUUUCAUUCUCCUUGAAAAUGUUUAUUUGUAAAGUACACUGAAGGAAUAUAUGCUUAGAUAUAUUUAGAUGGCACAAAUUUAAAUUUUGGUGUGGGAAGAAUGGUGUGCUUGGCCACCAUAUCAGCAGUUCUAUCUUUUUUAUUAUGUGUAUUUCCAUGUAACAGGUAAUUUCCUUGUUCUCUAUUAAUUUCCUUGUUCACUAAUUCCUGUAAUUAUGAAAAACUUGUAUCGGUAAAAGUUACUGUGCGUUAGCAGUUGUCAUUGAUUUAGUUUUGUGUUUUCUGGUAAGGUAUAAUGAGAUGGAAGUAGUAGGGUAGCGUAGAAUAGAGGUUUACAUAUUGGCAGAUUUCACUAAUUUUUUUUCUAUUGCCAUUCUUUUUAUUUUACACUAAUGUGGAUUUUUAGACACCAAAGCAACAUGGAUAUAUAUAGCUGACUUGAUAUCAGUCAGAUCAUUUUGUUAACACCUGCCCUUUUAUUUAUGUUGGAUAGGUUAUUUAAAAAGUUUCAUCAUGUAAGCUCUUGUGGAUUUCUAUUGACAGAAUUUGUUGUGAGCCUUCCUUUCUCCCACAAAUAAAAAAUGUGCUUACAGUGGUAAUAGGUAAAAGAAUAUAAGGAUAGUUUCAGCCAAGUAUUAAUCCAUAGAGUUAAGCAGACCAAUAUAAAGAUUUCCUUAAUGGGUUGGCCUGUAUGCAUGUGUUGAACUUUAAAAUCUAAGAAAGAUUAUUGCAUUAAGUUUGCAGGGAGUCCCCAGUUUUUGUUGUAUUCCUAUUUUAUUUGGGUUAUCUAAUGAGUUGGGAAGUUAGAAACAUUUUUUGUUUUUUGUCGUCAUUGUUUUUUUGUUUUUUUCUGAGACAGGAGUCUCUCCCUGUCGUCCAGUGGCAAGAUCUCACCUCACUGCAACCUCCAUGUCCCAGGUUUAAGUGAUUCUCCCUCCCCAACCUCCCAAGUAGCUGGGACUACAGGGGCCACCACCAUGCCCGGCUAACUUUUCUAUUUUUAGUGGAGAUGGGGUUUCGCCAUGUUGGCCAGGCUGGUCUUGAACUCCUGACCUCAGGUGAUCUGCCUACCUCGGCCUCCCAAAGUGCUGGGUUUAUAGGCAUGAGCCACCAUGCCUGGCCCCGAAACGUUUUUUUAGUGGCACUUAAUUUCUAACUUGCAAACAAUUUUUGAGAUCUAGAGGUUUUAAAAAUUAGUGUUAUUACCAAGAAACCCAGUGGUGACAGAAUGUUUCUCAUCUAAGUGGUUAAUUACAACUGCUUUUCUCAGAAAGACCUAUUGUUGAUUCAAGACUGAACAUUCAGCUCAUAAUUUUUUUGCUCCUUAAAACGUAAUAAACAUUGCCCAGAGUUUAGAAUGACAUACUUGGACCACAUUCAACCAAGAGACACUUGAUGAAAAUAUUAUGCAAAAUACCUAUUUAAAAUGUGAUUCUGUGGAAUUGACAGUUGAGGGUAGUAUUAUAGGCAAGCUGUAGUCCUGGCCUAGAACAAGCAAGUUCUCAGUUCAACAAUUUGAUGAGUCCUUUAGCACUAUUUGGAAGAUGUUUGGAAAUAAGACAUAGCAAGUAAUCUGCUUUUUGUAAGAGUAAUGACUUUCUUGCCGGUUUCCCUUUGAUUGUUGCCAUCUAAUGGAGGACUAUCAUCAGGCUCUUUUUCUUUAAUUGGAGCAGAGAUGAAACUUUAAGCAUAUUCCUGUGUAACAUUUCUAAAAGUAAAGGAUGCUAAAGUGUGUACUGCCUACUUUAAGAGAGGUGAUAUAACUUAGCACGGGCCAUGCAGACUUUAUGAAUUUUGGAUUCACUGUGUGAUUUGGGACAAGUUUUACUGAAUUUCUCUGUGACUGUUUCCACAUCUUCAAAAUGGGAGUGAUACUAUCUACCUCUAGGAUGUUUUGGGGAAAUUGUUUAGUUAAUACACCCCGUGGUGGUCUUAAAUAACAAAUACACUGCUUACCUUUUGUACAUCUGUGACAUCACUUUGUUGUGGUUUGAUUUAUAAAGUUUGGAUUAAAUUUAAGAGAACUUUAAAAAGCUGAAAAUUUUUUUAUUUAAUAUUUGAUGACUUGCUAUUUUAUAAGCCCUGUGAUUUACAAAAAUAAAUGUAAAAGCCCCUGCUAUUCAGUCUGGAGAGGGAAAUAGACGUGUACAUAUAAUAAAGAGGGAACAGUACUGCAAAUUCAUUGAACAUGGAAAAGCUGGUCUUUAGCCUUUUUUAAAAAGGGGUUGAUAAAUAUAGUCCCCUGAUGGAGUUUAUCCAUAAUACAUAGAGUGCACAUACGUAUAAGCUAAAAAGUCCUAUGAAAAAUGAGGCGUUUUAAACACCACCACCAA